UACGAAGGGGGCUAGCGUUGUUCGGAAUUACUGGGCGUAAAGCGCGUGUAGGCGGGUCCUUAAGUCAGGGGUGAAAUGCCGAGGCUCAACCUCGGAACCUGCCUUUGAUACUGGGGAUCUUGAGUCCGGGAGAGGUGAGUGGAACUGCGAGUGUAGAGGUGAAAUUCGUAGAUAUUGGGAAGAACACCAGUGGCGAAGGCGGCCUGCUGGGCAGUGGCCUGACGCUGAGGCGCGACAGCGUGGGGGAGCAAACAGG
rnacentral:rRNA from 1 species